GGGCUGGGGCAACGCUGAUGAAAGGCAAAUUCCUGAGAGAAAAAUCACCCAGAUUUUUCAGUGCCUUCUCUAGCUUUCUAGAAGUUGUUAUGAGUGGACCUGACUACCUAGAGAGAGUAAUACAGAAGCUCCGUGCCGAUCACAGCUACCUCAUUACCAUGUUCCUCCAAGAUGGCCGCCCCUGAGGAGAAUCAUCAACUGGGCUUUACGGAAGAGAGAAAUCCAAACGACCAUCAGCAACAAAUGAAAGACUGAAGUUGAAAGGCAAGUCUUCAGAUUUGAAUUUCAAGAUUGUCAAGAAUGACGAGUUGGACUUGGUCUAGUUACUUCCACAGCAGCAGGAGGAACAUGUGUGUGACUCAGGAUAACUGGGGAAGCCUUGGCUAGGCUUUCCUCAUGUCAACCUACCACUCAAAGGGAGAAAACCUCCUGAUCAGAGGUGCCCAGAACCCAGGAAAUCCAUAAUUUUUGAAUGCUGGCCGAGGUCUGUGACCUCUGACUGAAUGGUUUCCAAGCUCCGAAUUCCUAGGUGAUGUUUUCAUUUGUUCACACUUGCUGAAGAAGGGAAAGGCUCUCUGAUUUACGUGUAAGCAAAACAAUCUAAACAGUAGGAUAAAAUCAUGUUGGAAUGGAGUUCUGUGUGGAUGCUCCUUUGAACCAAAUCAGUUCCACAACUGACCCUG
rnacentral:lncRNA from 1 species